rnacentral:rRNA from 1 species
UGGGGAAUCUUCGACAAUGGGGGAAGCCCUGAUCUAGCCAUGCCGCGUGAGUGACGAAGGCCCUAGGGUCGUAAAGCUCUUUCGCCAGGGAAGAUAAUGACGGUACCUGGUAAAGAAACCCCGGCUAACUCCGUGCCAGCAGCCGCGGUAAUACGGCGGGGGUUAGCGUUGUUCGGAAUUACUGGGCGUAAAGCGCACGUAGGCGGACCAGUCAGUCAGAGGUGACAUCCCGGGGCUCAACCUCGGAACUGCCUUUGAUACUGGUGGUCUCGAGUUCGAGAGAGGUGAGUUGAAUUCCGAGUGUAGAGGUGAAAUUCGUAGAUAUUCGGAGGAACACCAGUGGCGAAGGCGGCUCACUGGCUCGAUACUGACGCUGAGGUACGAAAGCGUGGGGAGCAAACAGGAUUAGAUACCCCCGGUAGUCC